GGCUGCUGAUGGGAUGCACACCGCCCCAGAGUAGCCCGAGGAGGAAAGGAACCUCAGUGAAGAAUCUUCCAUUUCCAGCUGUGAUGUCAAUUCAAAAUGAAUUCAGAAAAGAAGAGUACGAUCAGAUGGAAAAUGUGGUGGCACCUGUCCUGGCCCGACCUGCUCGCUCAGCGGGCCCAUUCUCGCUACCUGCCAGUGAGGGCCCGAUGGAAACUCUGCCUCAUCCCCAUCAAUGUUGCAUGGGUCCUGCCCCAGUGAAAGCACACACCGGGUUGGGCGGACUCCUUCGUGUCAUCAGAGCAGGCUGUCAAGCACCGCCUUUGCGUGCCAGUGCUGCUUUACAAAAUGAUGCACCUUCUUCUCUAUUAUUAAUGUCUCCAGGUUGCAGGGGCGGGGGUUAUAUAGAAAUGACACUCUACUGGCCUUUUGAGGCCCCAAAAUUAAGGUCCCUGCAUAACACCGGUUGUGAGGUGUCCAGCCCCUGCCUUGCACCCCCAGCAUUCUGCAGGUUGCUAAAGGAGAAGAAAGACUUAUUUGCUGAGCCUCAGAAAAUGUACUGGAAAGGAAUUUGUUAUGGUGAUAGGGCGGAGGUAGCAUGACAGGAGACACUGGGGUUCAACGGGUGUCCUCAAAUGCUUUUGGAAUGCUUCUAUGCCAUCAGAGCUCAGCCCUGAAGCCUGACAUCUCCACCAUCAGUCCACCAACUCAGUGAAACUUUUUUUUCAACACAAUAAUGGGGACACUGUUGCUGAGCAACUACUGUUAAUAGCCACAUGAGAAGUGGUCCUCAUACACCUUACAGCUUCCACCCUUGAGAUGGAGAGCUGUUCAAACUACAACAUUUUAAAGAAAACAUGACAAUAACAUGGACAGAACAUAAGAAGAAUGGAUCACACAACAAUAGCAUGGUCCGUGGUCCAGCCAUGAUCAAGUUCAUACUCAGAGAUCCUGUGUAAGUGAAGGUCAGAGUCCAUGAGAAGGCAUGAAAGUUACAAUACAAGUAAAACUAUUUACAAAAUGACUACAUUGGGUGAUCAUUUGCACUGGCCAGUUUUCCAGUGACAUCAUCCCUUUUGUCUUCACUGGAAACUCCACCUCUUCUUCAAUCCCUCUGUUAAAUGAUUAAGAAGGACAUUGAGUGAUCCAAUGGAACCAUUACUUGCACAAGGGCAGCGAGCUCACACAGGUGGAGUUAGGACAUCACAGAAUCCUUUAUGAAGAUCAAAGCUUGUCCCCUGUUCACUGAGUCACCAAAGUCCACUGGUUAACUUUCUUCUUCAGAAUGUACAAAUACCCAUUAACAACUCUGAGCUGUGUACAUAGCUUUACAAUUAAUCCCUGCUGUUUCAAAGCUCUAAUGCAGUAUUUUGUACAAAAAUCAAACCAUUUAGGUGCAAUAAAAAAGGUUUUUAAGGACA
rnacentral:lncRNA from 1 species